AGAACGAACGCUGGCGGCAGGCCUAACACAUGCAAGUCGAACGCAGUAGCAAUACUGAGUGGCGCACGGGUGAGUAACACGUGGGAACGUGCCUUUUGGUACGGAAUAACAUCGGGAAACUGAUGCUAAUACCGUAUACGCCCUCCGGGGGAAAGAUUUAUCGCCAAAAGAUCGGCCCGCGUCAGAUUAGCUAGUUGGUGAGGUAAUGGCUCACCAAGGCUUUGAUCUGUAGCUGUUCUGAGAGGAAGAUCAGCCACACUGGAACUGAGACACGGUCCAGACUCCUACGGGAGGCAGCAGUGGGAAUAUUGGACAAUGGGGGAAACCCUGAUCCAGCCAUGCCGCGUGAGUGAUGAAGGCCUUAGGGUUGUAAAGCUCUUUUACCUGGGAAGAUGAUGACGGUACCAGGAGAAUAAGCACCGGCUAACUUCGUGCCAGCAGCCGC
rnacentral:rRNA from 1 species